GGCUGUAGCUCAUUGGUAGAGCACCUGCCUCGCACGUGUGAAGCACUGGGUUCGAUCCUCAGCAUCA
rnacentral:tRNA from 1 species